rnacentral:rRNA from 1 species
GACGAACGCUGGCGGCGUGCUUAACACAUGCAAGUCGAACGGAAAGGCCCUGCUUUUGUGGGGUGCUCGAGUGGCGAACGGGUGAGUAACACGUGAGUAACCUGCCCUUGACUUUGGGAUAACUUCAGGAAACUGGGGCUAAUACCGGAUAGGAGCUCCUGCUGCAUGGUGGGGGUUGGAAAGAUUCGGCGGUUGGGGAUGGACUCGCGGCUUAUCAGCUUGUUGGUGGGGUAGUGGCUUACCAAGUCUUUGACGGGUAGCCGGCCUGAGAGGGUGACCGGCCACAUUGGGACUGAGAGACGGCCCAGACUCCUACGGGAGGCAGCAGUGGGGAAUAUUGCACAAUGGGCGGAAGCCUGAUGCAGCAACGCCGCGUGCGGGAUGACGGCCUUCGGGUUGUAAACCGCUUUCGCCGGUGACGAAGCGUGAGUGACGGUAAUGGGUAAAGAAGCACCGGCUAACUACGUG